AUUGAACGCUGGCGGCAUGCCUUACACAUGCAAGUCGAACGGCAGCACGGGUGCUUGCACCUGGUGGCGAGUGGCGAACGGGUGAGUAAUACAUCGGAACGUACCUUAUCGUGGGGGAUAACGCAGCGAAAGUUGCGCUAAUACCGCAUACGCCCUGAGGGGGAAAGCGGGGGACCGUAAGGCCUCGCGCGAUUAGAGCGGCCGAUGUCUGAUUAGCUUGUUGGUGAGGUAAAAGCUCACCAAGGCGAUGAUCAGUAGCUGGUCUGAGAGGACGAUCAGCCACACUGGGACUGAGACACGGCCCAGACUCCUACGGGAGGCAGCAGUGGGGAAUUUUGGACAAUGGGGGCAACCCUGAUCCAGCAAUGCCGCGUGAGUGAAGAAGGCCUUCGGGUUGUAAAGCUCUUCUGUCAGGGAAGAAACAGCAGCUCUAAUACAGUCUGCGAAUGACGGUACCUGAAGAAUAAGCACCGGCUAACUACGUGCCAGCAGCCGCCGUAA
rnacentral:rRNA from 1 species